GCCUUCGUGGUGUAACGAUAGCACACUCGGCUCGUAUUCGAGAGGUCCAAAUUUGAGUCCUAGCGAGGGCA
rnacentral:tRNA from 1 species